GGCUAGUCUGAUGGUAGUGGGUUAUCAGAAUUUAUUAACACUGGUGUCACUAAAGUUGGUAUAUAACCCCCCCAUUGCUAAAUUGGACUGGAUUUUA
ensembl:misc_RNA Y_RNA Y RNA